ACCCCUUUUGCUAUCUCUGUAUCUAGUCUAUUUAAAUAAUAAGAUAAUUUGAUAUUUAAAAUGAUAUGUUUAAAAAGGUAAAGUUAACAAAAAGGUGCAUAUAAUAUAAUUUGAUAUUUAAAAAGUUUUUUUUGUGCAUGCAGAUGAUCACAAUAUUUUAGUGUGAGUACAGUCUAAAAAUUCAAAAAACAAAAGAUUC
rnacentral:lncRNA from 1 species